UCGCCUGGCAACGACGAGAGAUCGACCGAGUGCUCUUUCCACUCCCCCCCCUCCUCUCUGUCCCCGCCUUAGCGGCCUCCGAGAGGGUUGGACACCACCCUCGCUCGUUGUUGUUUCCGCCGCUGGUACUGGUACUGGUAUGACAGUGGUGGUCCGCGGACGUGUGUGAAAGCUACUAUAUAUCGGGAGUUGCGAGUGAGCAAACGAUUAGUCGUCGCUAUUGGGAAUGGAACGUCGAGGGUGGAAGGUCAAGAGGAGAGCGGACACCUUGAAGGACAUGCCAAUGGUAUAUAAAUACACCUUGCACAUCUGGGGUGGACUCUUAGAAGCAGAAGUAACGAAAUCGGGACACCGAAUGCGAAUAUCAUAAAAAUGUAGAUGUAAAAGAAAUAAAUGUGCAUUAUAAGUAUACAAGUUUUUACAAAAAUUAAUUAAUGUUGAAUUAUAAAGUAGUUAUUAUAAAGUAUAACAUUAUAACGAAAAAUUAAAUUAUGCUAUAUGAAAUGUUUAGCAUUUAUUGUUUUUUUUUUUUUUUAUGUACCAUCACUCGAUGUAUCAAGCAGUGGUUUUUUUAAACUUUGACAUAAUUAUCCGACCAAAUUAUUAUAAAUCACGUCAUACAACUAUAUCAAAAUACUUGAUAUUUUUUCACAUAUUUUAAUUUUAUUCCAUUUGUAAUAACGUAGACUAAAAAUUAUAAGUAUAAAAGAGUGACAAGUACCGGUGACACGGUAUCCUCAAUAUGGUAUUCCAUCUACUAUCCCGUGAAAUAUGAGGGGGCUCGAUCGUUCGCUGUUUGUCCGUUCGUCCAUUCUCGCCGGCAAACAUACCGAAAAUGGCGUACGGUAUUUCACAUUGUUGUUUUAAGACAGCUCGAUCGAUACCUUCAUCGCGGUAUCGGUACACACCCACAUUGUAUCGUCUCGCUUAUAAAUAAAACGAUCGCUUAGCUCUGAAGUCUCGGGGAAAACUUUCGCCGCGCUUUGAUUCGUGGACGUUUUAUAACGUAACGAACCUCAUUAGGAACGGUAAUAGCGCCUUUUCUGGUCGUAACUCCAUUUUCUGCGAGGUUACAAGACGGAUAGCCGCCGUCGUUGCACCGUCGCCUUAAAAGUCCUCGCACAUCCUACGGAAACGGAGAGUAAUGAAUAGUUCGCAAACGUAAAAAAAGGGGGAGGGGGAAGAAUCCUGUCGAUCGUCGUCCGGUGAUUUAUCGUGACUUGAUCGCGCCGGUCAAAGCGCCGCGAUAACGCUUUGUCCGAUAAGGCAAGAAGAGAAGCGCGUCCUACUGUCGUUUUCGCUACGAUUACAGAUAACGCAAGGACAUGAUUCAUGCGUCUAUGACUAUCAUUGUGUGAUCGUACGAUUAUUGUUAUCUGAUAAUUAUAUGCGAAAGGUGUUUUCGUCGUUUGUGAGAUACAAUCACAAACGAAAAAUGUAUCGAUUUCAAGCAUCGCGCAUUUCGGUUAUUAAAAGAUUAUCAUAUUUGCCUUGCGUAACUAAAGUUUUAUAUCUAUAAAAAAAUCUAAUUAAACCAUAAUAAAUUAAUUUGUCAACUUUUCGCAUUAACUUUCCGAGGAAUUAAUUCAUAAUUUUUGCACCACUUGCACCACAUUUCUGCGUCAAGAAACUUCACACGACUGUUAAGCUUGUUAAUGACUAAGGUUUAAAGGAGUCAAACCAGAUCUUUCGUGGAAAAAAACAGUAGAUUUCCCGUGACGUCAUUUCCUCAGCAUCGUCGCGCGGAUGCAGGCACUCGUGCCUGACGACUUUUUCGUCGCACAUCGCAGGGGAAGAGAGCGAAAAACUAACGAGCGCAAGGUUCACUCAGAUUAGAUCGACUCCAAUUUAGUUCACUCGUCGUUUGACCUCCAUUCCAGAUCGGCCGCCCUCUCUCCGGCUUUUAAUUUGCGGAGGAUGUGACGUUCCCUCGAUGAAUCUCAUCGGUCGUCCCUCUCAACGACCGGUGCCGUUAAACCGGAACAAUUUAGCAUCGAGGACGACGGAACGGUCAUCCCCCAUUUUUUAUCGGGACUCCGCAUUAUAGAUUUAAUUGUAACUCAAUCAAGGGAAUAGGAAGUAAAGUUUUACAAUAAAGUGUUUUUUGUAUAACAAUUCAUCAUUGGAAUCCUGAUUGGGUAACUCGAAGAAAUUGCAAAUAACUAUUUGCGAGAUAUUAAUCUACGAAUUCAAUUGCAAAAUUAAAAAAUAAAUCAAUUUUAUUUAAUAAGUUGUAGUAAUUUUCCAAAUCAGAAAAAUGUUAUACAAUAUGAUAUUGAAUAUUACUUAUGAGAUACUGUUCAUACUACAAAAAAUGUUUUGUUGUAAUAACAAAUAAUUUGGUUAAUAUCUAUCGUAUAUGUAAUAACAACUAUAUUUGAUUAAUAAAAUAAACACAAAUAUUAGUACAUUUUUUAUUUACAUGGUUAUUUUAUUUCGCAGAAACAACCAAAUUUUUUGUUACAUAAAGUAAAACUGAAAAAAAGCGUCAACUAAACAGUUUUUACUGAAGGCACUAAAUUGUUUUAUUCAGUUUUUCCUAUAAGAACAAAUUUGUUGCUUUUGUGAAUUAUCGAAACAUUUUAAUGAGCCUUGUAAGAUGAGUUAACGUGAAAGAGUAAAAGAGCAUAAGAGUGCACGCGUUCUAAGCUUCGUAGGCUUUGAAAGAUAAUACCGGAAGAGAAAAUUUGAAAGAGGUUCCCAAAUUGACCUGUUUCCGCUUUCCAAACAUCGUCAGUCCAUUAAUUUUAGGGAGUUAGAACGAGGGAUGAAGCCCUGCAGAGGCCUAGAUGAAAGACGAGUGCCUGACGUAUAUUUGAAGUUUGAUCGAUUGAUCACACGAUACAUCUAUUGCAAUCUUUUAUACGCCCACCAAGGAUCUCCGCUCGUCAGCGAAUAUACAACCCUCUUGGGGGUUAUCUGUAUCGUUAAUUCUUGGUCAUUGUAUCACAUACGCCAAAAUAAAGAAAAAUAUGUAAUACAUUAAUAUGUAGCAUAUAUUAUUUGAUAAUUUAUCUUAGUAACAUUUUGCAAAAAUAUAAUUUAGUAACACAUAAAUUUUUAUACGUGUUUUUUGAAAAUAAUGACACGUUCCGACAUUACCGUCUCUUUCUAAUACUUGCAAGUAUCGAUGACUGCAUUCACCGUUACGUGAAGCUUCUCACCUCACAUUUGCAUCUGUUUAAACGAAUAAAUAAUCCCACGGUACCGCGCGCGACGAUAUUCUCUUCUCGGUGCCCGGCCCGAGUCUACAAUCCCCGGCACGAGGAAGAAAGAGCCAGGAAGUCAACCGUGAGACAGGAAGGUCGUACCAUCUAAGUUUAGAGUGUGUUUAGUCACCUACCACGGCUACCUACACUUUUCCAUCUACAACUCCGCCCCUUUAUCUGCCCAGGUUCGCGAGGAAUCAUUAACGACCUCCGUAUGUGGAGGUGGUACUCGCACACGUACGUGCGGUGGGACCCUUUCACGAUAAUCCUGGAAACUCGGAUCCCGCGAUACGAGUCCCGCGAAUUGGCAUGCGAAGAAAACCAGGGAAGCGUUAUUCGAUUUACGCGCAAGUUAAUUUCGCGCUUUCUCACGUUGUUCAAGGUAUCUAAUUUUUUCUUCAUAGAAAUAAGGACAUUGCGUAAAAAUAUUUGUAGCUUAUUUUAAGAGACGUUUCACACUUGCCAUAUUAAAACUUUCUGCACGUUUUGUUUCUCGCAGCUUUCGAAUCGUGGUAGAGACAGAGAGAGAGAGAGAGAGAGAGAGAGAGAGAGAGAGAGAGAAAGAGAGAGGAGACUUCCGCGAAAAACACUCCGUGAAAUUCCGUUGUCUGAGAAGAGUAUUAUGGUACAGUCUGUCUGCCGGCUGUUUUACAGUGUUAAUAUAUAUCUCCGCCGGUUAUUCCAAUAUCCGUUGUCUACUCUAGACGAUGAUGCAAGCGUUUGUACUUCCCGCGCGCGCUGGCAUACGUUCUCGUCUAUCUGCCGCCGCCGUCUAUCUAUCGUGUCCCGAAGGAAAACCUGAAUCACGAAAUCCUCCGGGUGCUCGCUCCAAGAAAGGCGGAGGCAGCUGCGGCGGCAGCUCCGUAUAGAGCCGGUACGUACGCGCGUGUAACGUUUACACGUCCCCGUAUCUCUUCGGCGUGUGUUCGUGCGUGGGUGUUUAAGCGGGUGCAGGAAGGAAAGGUGCGGAGACGGACGAGAGGGGGAUGGGAUAAAGGAGUAAAACCGCGUUGUAUAGAUGUGGGGACUGUAAAUAUCGCGUCGCUCUGCUGCCUACUUCGCGCUCAACGGGGAGGCACGCCCGGUAUAUGUGGUAUAUCGCCUUAUGUGCGUCUUUCAUCCUAUCGUGGUGGUGCCUAUGAAGAACGGACAGACGAACGGACCAUUGGAUAAAAAAUAUCCUACUAAAUUGAUAAAUUAUGACCGCUUAAAUCAGCCAGAUGCGGGGUCCGUUCUAUUGCUGCCGAGAAAGAGAGAGAGAGAGAGAGAGAGAGAGAGAGAGAGAGAGAGAGAGAGAGAGAGAGAGAGGCUGGUCCCUGAUUUAGGUAGCCAUUCUGGAUAACUCUCGAUAAUAACUCUAUUGUAAACCGUAAUCGGGAAACUUUAUGAUGGAAGUUUUUAAUGGCUUUUCUAGUAAUUCCUUAGUAAUUGCCAGCGUGGUCGAAACGAUGUAAUAAAAAUUAGAGAGAAUUAUGAUCAAAUUUAGGUAGUUGAAAUUGAAGUCUUUACGGUAUACUAUAGUAAUAGACAGACAAAGUAAUAAAGCAUUUAUUAGCGUUUUAGGGUAAACCAGCGUUUAAGAACCAACAAAAUAAUAACAGAAAAAAACACACAAAAAUAAAAAAAAUAAAAUAAUAACGUAAUAGUUACGCAAGCAGAAUCAAUAAGUGAAAAUGAAAAUAAAAAUAAGAACGCAAAUUUAUUGAAGCCUAUAUUAUAAGAAUUAUAUACAGAGAAAUUAUCAUGAGGUUCAAGUAGUUGAAGCUGAUUAAACUUGAGAAACAGACAAUAUUCUGUUCUUUCCUUAUUAAUUUUUUGCGAUUGAUAUCUAUAAUCACCGACUAGAACAUAAAUCUUUAACGGAGGGAUCGUUAAAUCAUGACUGCUCUAUCGAAAAGUUCUUUGCUAUUUGUCGUAAAGACGAAUCUUUCGAGAUGGGCGUACAAAUCGAAAUUUAUGGCGGUUACGGCGGCCGAAACUCCGCGCUCUCUUGCGACACGGACAAUGUAAGAGGUUGCGUCAUACACCACGCCGAGAAUCGGCUUCGAGGCAAAUCGAGGCCCGAUCCGAAGAACUCGGACUGACGUUCCCGGAGGGGGCGCGGCACUUUCUCUCACUGGAGUUCCAGAGCAACGUGGAAUCGAGGAAACCCCUCACGAAUACUCACACUUUGCUCUUUCGUAGUCGUCCCGAUGUCUGGCAAGUUACCUCGCCUCGCUUAAAAUUCAAUUUAACCAAAGUGGGAAAUAUAUUCGCAGUCUACCUAGAGAGUGUAUAUAGUUGGACACAUAAAAUAUUUCAUUCCGCGAGAAUUUGUAGGAUAAGAGUUUGCACAUCACAUCUAAUACUUUCUUCGACAUUAAAGUCUAAAAACGCAAUUUUGAAAUUUAAACCUUUUUUUACUUAAUGUCUUUCAUCUCAUUUCUCGAUGUUCUUGAUACCUUGAUACAUCCUAAGUUGAUCUCUAAGUUUUUACUUGACUUAGAAAUGCAAUAGGAAAAAGAGAAAAUUAGGAACACAAUCGGCAAAAGCGACAACAGACUAGGUGCGGUACGAAGAAAGAGGAAGAAUACAACGCUCGAACAGAAAUUCCAUCGUCAACCGGUCGGGACUCGCAAUAGAAUCGGGGGGUUCCUUUGACCGGUUGCACGUUCAAGCCUGCCUGACCACUUGUGAUUCAUUUUACGCAAUAAGCCUUCGCUCGCGCCAUGUAUGCAAUUCCAUUUGUUUUCUGUGCGUCUCUUUUCCAAGUCUCGCGCGAAACGCGGGAUUUUUGCCGCGGCAAAACUCCUGAGAAACAUACGCUACCUUUUCUUUUUUCAUUAAAGGAAAAAAAUUCUUCCUCUCAAAAUCCUAGAAAAAUUUUAACAUGUAUUUUAAUAUUAUAAAAAUGUACAUACAUAUUUGUCUUUAUUUGAGAUAUAAAAAUGAUGUAAACGUUAAUAUAUUAGACACGGAAAGAAGGCACAUUGCACUUUUUUCACAUACCUUUAGUCAUUGUUAACAACAUUGUGGAAUUGCAAAACUUAAUAUUUUUUAGUUUAUGUCGAGGAAGUAAUCUAUUAAAUAAUAAAUCUCGCUACUUUGUGAUUUUCAGCAGUUGCUCUUAAUUUGAUAAUUUCAUGUGUGAUUUGCUCGAUGAGACAGUUCUAUUAAGUCACGCGUCCAUGUGUCUAGACUGAACACAUAUUACAUCAUUCUGCGCUACAAAUUCACGUAAGUGCAAUAAAGAAAUGGUUCAAGUACUUGGACAGAGAUAACUGGAAAUCUCGUUUAUCUGCAGAAAAAUGUAGCACACGUUUAGAAAUAAUUCACUUGUAGUCGUGAAAAUCGAGAGUUUCGCGUUGAUUUAGUUUUCUCGCAUAAAACUGACUAUGUCGCGAGAUUAAAGGUACUUUCUAGCAGCUAUCGAGUUUUUGGCAACGGGGAACAGUAGUCAAGGAGGCUUCGACCUUAUUCUUAUCACGUACUUGGCAAUUGCCCAAGUCUUUCCGGCUGUAUCUUCCUUAAUCAAGGAAUGAGAACCAUCCUUAAAUGUUGCGCAUUCGUCGGCUGUAUCUUAGCUCGCAAAAAAUGCUUAUCUACAAAAAACCGUUUUAUGAGUUUAGUUUUUCAUAUGCAAACAGGUAUAUUGCAUCUUAAGAGCUACUACUAGAUUUAAUAUCGACGUAAUAUAUUUUUUAAUAUAUGCGAAAAUUAUUUAAUUGCUUCUCAACUUGCUGCUUGUAUAAAAUUCUUUAAAACCAGCGAUUAUGAUAUAAUUUUCAUAUACUCUAAAUAAUAGAAUAUAUGGUUAUAUUACAUAAUCAUUAAUAUUUUUCCGAUAAAAUUUAAUAUGUAUACAUUUCAGCGAGAGAUUCACGACAGCAGAUUUUACGUUAUUACAUCACACGCAUUACUCAUAGCAGAUACCGUAUUGUUAUACUACUUUUUACAUCAAUAUUUCAAAUUUUAGAUACAUACAAUAUUAUAAUCUAGAUUCGCGAUUAUUACGUGCGAUUGUUACAUUCACGAGACGAUCCUGAUACUAUCGAUCUCUAUUGGACAAAUGCCGCACACGAGAGAAUCUUUUGGAGUACCCUCGAAAAUACUUCUCUCUGGUUCUCGUACCCUACUUUAUUAUACCGUCGUCCCGAUGAGCACGGUAUAUUACACGAUGACCGAGCGGCGCGCACACGCGGCUACCUAUUACGAUAAAUACCCGGCGCGCGCGAUUCAGCCAGAUCGGCGGGACUGGCUCCCUAAGACGGUGAAAUAUUUCCGCGAUAGCCAUAACCUUUCGCCAUGGCUUCCCACGCCUCUCGACGAACGUGUCCCGCCGCGCCCGCGCUGACCACCGAGCGAACGAAACACAUCCAGCUGAGCUGGAUCGUGAUCGGUAUUUCCCUUUCUCAUUUAAGCAGAUCAAUCAGUUAGAUCAAUCAACUCGAAUGAGAGACACUAGUCGCUGUGAUAAGGCGACUGCACCUUAAACUUGUUGCGUGAAGCAUUAGUUGUCAAAUGUUUUUGUCCGUAUAAAAUAUUCUAAUAAAAAAAUAAAAUAUAAUUUGAAAAUUUCAUGUUUUUCUUACAGAAGAAUAAUUAAAAACGUUACUAACGUUUGCAUUUUUAACUAUAAUAUAAAUUAAAAGUCUGAACAUACUCGAUACGAACUAAUAUUGCAUAUGACCUGAGUCCCGUGAAAUAUUACAUUGGUGAACUAAUGAUUUAUAGAUGAUGUCCUAAAGAAAUUAACCGUCUUCUGAACUCGCAAGUCACCGCUUAGCUUUUCUUAUCAACUACAACGCCCGUGUAAAUUCAAGGCUACGUUCGGCCGAAAUACCCCUAGCCGGACCGCGGGGCUGCGGCAUUAUCCUGGAGGAUUUAUGCGGCUCCUUUCCCAAAUGCAUUCAUCAUUCCGCGGUGUCAGCGGCUCGCUUUCAGUCCGGUCUUCGUCCUCCUUUUAUCUCCUCGCUCCUCCGGUUCCUCUCCAUCUCCUUCUCUCUCUCUCUCUCUCGUUCGCUUCUCUCGGCUUUGCCGAACUCCCGGCCUUCUACUUUACACAACACGCACGAACACCGCCGCAGUGCUCACUCUCACUCUCAUCCGAGAGUCCACCGUUCUUUUCUCUUCUCUCCACGCCUGCAACGCGGCAGUGAUUCUUUUUCGUUUUUGGCAUUCACGUCCUCCUCUCUGCUUCCUCGUCUCUUUUUUGUUUUGCAUCAUCGUAUAGUGGCGCGGUCCUUUUCGAGCUCAACCGCGUAUCGGGACCACCCCGUGAUGCUGAACCUUCGUAAUUCUUUAUAACGCUUGUAACGGGUGUUGUGACGCUCUUCGAGACACCCUCUUUCGGAUCGUGAUAUAUGAAGGCGAUACGAUAACGCGCGCAAAAGUCGACGACCUGUUUUGUCAAUUAGCAUAAACAUAAUCACAAGUACGUAAUAAAAAAGUACGAGAUAAUAUUACUCAAGAACUUAUCGUUACACUCGUGACUUGUCAUCACACAUGACUCAAUUAAUUAAUAAUUGACGCAAUUUAUAUAGUUAAACGAAAAAUAGAAUUUCGCGAAUAUCAUGUGACUACGGUAACCUUGUACUUUGAUUGAAAUUCAGCAGCCGACCUUGUAUGGAAUAUCAUGAACUUUAAUGCAAUUCAAAUAAUCCAUAACCAAACAAGAAAUGUAUAAAAAUAAUUGGAGAAACCGUAUCGCUUUGCGGCAAGCGCAGGCGGGAGAUGCGAGUGAACGUCGUUAAAUGUGAUUGUCAUUACUCGGACUACGUCUCGUAAUUGCAACGCGGUUCAUUACGGGAGUCCAUGCAACCGCGAAUCAUUUCGUCUGGCCAUCCGUCUGUGCGUCUCUCUGGCUAUUCAUACGCAAAUCCGAUCGCCGGACCAUCCGUGGCCGGCUGAAACUUUCGACGGUCAAUGCUCGCCCAUCCGCGGCGGACUCGAAAUUUGCAUUUAAAACCAUAGCUGCGGGCGCCAAAAUAAAAAAGGCGACUUUGCGCGUGGUUUGACGAGCGCAGACGUGCCAGGCUAAAAAGAAUCGCGCGGUUCGGCGGAGAGUUCGUGGAAAAAAGAAAAGCAAGAAAAGACCAAAGCCCUGCUGUCGAUACACCAUCGGGAUAAAGAAACGCCGGAUUGUCUUCAGGGCUAAGCAGGCGAGUGAGCCGAUACAGUUCACUGGCGAAAAGGCUAAAGGUAGAUGCAGCGGGAACGAUGUAUCAUUAAAACGCGUACCGAUAUCAUUGCAAAAUCAUGCCACUUUUCUCGUAUUCGAGAUUAAUGUUACGGGUUCAUAAAAAAGCGACUUGAACUGACGUACCACUUUCAAAUGUACUAUAGAAACUAGAAUUGUAAUUAUGGCCGAGACUUCGAGAAUCGACCAAAAAAAUUCGUAUGUUGCACAAACGUAUUUCGUGUGUAAUUCUCUCUAAAAUAUAUAUUCGUGUAAUAAAUCUCUUAUCUUGUCACAAGUGAAACAACCCACGUACUCCGAGGCACCGGUGCAAUUUCAUUUCCGGGUUCCAUCAGCUCAACUGAUUAUUUUAAAAGAGGAAACGGAUGGAGCACGCGUGAGAGAGCGGAGAAAGGAGACGCGCGGGAAAGAGGUAGAGAAAUGUGACAGGAAAAGGCAGCCGCACGUAUUCUUGUGAAAAACAAAACGCAGAGACGGGUUCGGCGCGACGUCUGGCACAACGCGUCUCCGAAUAGAUGAAGAGGAGGAGAAAGAACGGCAAAAGAUAGAACGAAAGAAACGGAAUGAGAGGGUCGGAAGCGGCGAGGGGAAGGAUAGAAGUUCCGGUGGAGAGCCGGAAUAUAACGCCAGCGACGCUGGCUCGACAUCGCGACGUCUUACAACCACGAAGAAGAACCCGCGCACGGGAUUUAUUGGCUGAAGAGCCGAGAAUUUAUGCGGAGAUUCGCGCUGGCAGGUGGUUCUACUCGCGAUGAAAAACCGAAAUUUCUCUCUGACCCUUCUUCUCUCCCCUUCGCCGCUCGGUCUUCCUGUCUUUUACUUCUCGUCUCUCUUUAUACGCGACUCGGAUGAAUUGCAGGAAACUGGAGAGGCCAGCGAGAUGUCUUGUUAAAUGCGAUUAAUAUCUAACACCCCGACUCGAGUGUUUGAUCUCUCUCGGAUCCUUUCGAAUAAAUUUAUGUCUCGCUGAAUAGAAUACUGGGAGAGCGCCGAGACCUCGGAACUUGCGCUUUAUCAUAUUCUCGUGCCACAGAAUUGAAUUGUAAUUCAGAUAAAACAAUUGUUUUCUCUGUUCUUAUUAAAAAAUAAUUAUAUCGUAUUUUUAACUAUUGCAAUAUUAUUUUUCUUAAUAUGUUUCAUGAAGGUUCUUUAAAAAACUAAUAUUGAAUAGUAAAAUCGAAUAGGAGGUGUUGAUACAACGAUAAGAAACGAUGUCCUGGCAUGUGCUCGGGGUGGCUGGGCGGCGACCAAAGAAAGAUGCCAAAAAAAAAAAAAAAAAAAAUAAGACAAAGUAGAAGAAGAGCAGCGGGCAAUGGUAAGAAAAGGGAGGAGGGAAAGGGGCGUUUUUUACCUCUAUCGUUUGUACAGUGCUCACCUUGUUUUCCCACCCCAGGUAUUCAUUUCAAGGACAGAAGAAACAUUUCGAUCGGUUGUAAGGGAGAUUCCCGGCAAAGAUUUUUUGCGGGGCAGCUAGCAAAAGGAUGCACUAAAUCUUGCCCGGAUAUCUCGUGAGUAUAUCAGAGUCAGUGUGGCAGCGGGGUGCCCGAUACAGCCACUCUCGAUGCUGUGCGCUCCGCGCAUCGCAGGACGAAGGGAAGAGGCUGAGAGAAAGACUGAGAGAGAACGAGAGAGAUGUGAGAGAGAUAGCAGAGAAGAGAGAGAGAGAGAGAGAGGGGGGGGGAGAGGGAGAGAAAUGCUGGUUGCGGUCGCCGCUGCUGCCGUUGCACCGUCGCCCCGUCGUCGUUACAUCCCGUUCCUCCGCUUCGAUCAGAAGACACGUUGCAUGCAUAAAAGCGAGCAGACCAGACCGCACCCUUCCUAGCCGCAAGAGUUACUGUGACAGAGAAACCGGAAGCGGGCGCGUGCCGGCGCGACGGAAGUUCGGGGGCUGAACGCGAUCCUAUUUCUGCAGUUGCGUCUCGGUGGUAGUAUUACGACGGAUGUGGCAAAACUGUACAGUCAUGACUCAAAAAAGCUAGCGAUGAAUUCUGCAAGAAGAGAGGCACCAGAGACGGCUCGUAAAAACACAUUACUCGCGUGUACUCAGUUUUCCUGUCUCUCAUAUUCGUAAAGAAAAAUUUAAACAAACAUUUCACAUUCAUGCCGUGCAAA